UAUAUGAAAUUACAUUUUCUCAUUCUCUGUAGCUUUUCCAUAGCUCAGUUUAUAUCUUAACAUGGUAUCCAAAAAAAGAUGAGGACCUAGGAGAGUUCAUCAUUGCUGGUUUUGGCACAGGAAUAUGAAUAUGUGGUGGUCAAUCUUCUUCAUCGAUACGAUCCACCAAAUCUGCAAGAGAUGCAAUAUGUUUUGCAAUCUCAUGAGAUUCGUCUGCAGCAAACAACAUACAUUAUAUUUGAUCCUAUGGCUUACUUCAUUCAAAGAGGUGGUCGAGUUUUUCGUGGCUGCGGUGGAACAAUUGGAAGAUCUGGUUCAUUUAAGCCAGCUGCUAAAUCUUUAAUUAUCUGCCAACUUUGCCAACGGCCUGGCCAUGUGGCUCCCUAAGUGUUUUAAAAGAUUUGAUGUUAAUUUUACAGGUGUUGAGUCACAGAAUGCUAAUCCCCAAGCAUAUCUUACUGAUUUGCAGAGCACUCAUGAGUAUGCAUAUGAUGAAGAAGAUGGUGUUUGGUAUGUUAACUAGUGGAGCAACAAACCAUAUCACCAACAGUCUCCAACAAUCUUCAAGUGUCUACACCCUACUUUGAAUCUGAAGCUUUAACUUUGGUAAUGGAUAAGAAUACCAAUGAACUUCUACUGAAGGGUCGUCUCCACAAGGGACUUUACAAGCUUGAUCUUUCAAAAUUCUGUGUCACCAACUCAAGUUCCAUUUCUAACAACUCAGAUUCUGCUUCUCAACAUGGUGCUUGCUUUCUUGUCUCUACUCAACAUAAGAAUAAUUCUGUUUCUACUUGUAGUACAAUCGUUAUAUGUAAUUCUGAUUCCUCAAAUAAUGUUUCUUCCAGCUCAUGUAUUUCCUAAUAUUCUUGUAGUUUCUCAAAAGCUCCAUCUAAAAUGAAUGUUUGGCAUUAGAAAUUACGCCAUCUAAAUGUUGAUGUGCUAUCUCAUGUACUCAAACACUUAAAUAUCUCUACAAAAGGUCAUUUUAUUCAA